rnacentral:rRNA from 1 species
UACGUAGGCAGCGAGCGUUGUUCGGAGUUACUGGGCGUAAAGGGUGUGUAGGCGGUUCGUUAAGUUCGAUGUGAAAGCCCCGGGCUCAACCUGGGAAUGGCAUUGGAAACUGGCGGACUCGAGUGUGGCAGAGGGGGGUGGAAUUCCGCGUGUAGCAGUGAAAUGCGUAGAGAUGCGGAGGAACACCGAUGGCGAAGGCAGCCCCCUGGGCUAACACUGACGCUCAGGCACGAAAGCGUGGGGAGCAAACAGG